UGGGGAAUAUUGGACAAUGGGCGCAAGCCUGCUCCAGCCAUGCCGCGUGAGUGAUGAAGGCCCUAGGGUUGUAAAGCUCUUUCACCGGUGAAGAUAAUGACGGUAACCGGAGAAGAAGCCCGGGCUAACUUCGUGCCAGCAGCCGCGGUAAUACGAAGGGGGCUAGCGUUGUUCGGAUUUACUGGGCGUAAAGCGCACGUAGGCGGACUUUUAAGUCAGGGGUGAAAUCCCGGGGCUCAACCCCGGAACUGCCUUUGAUACUGGGAGUCUUGAGUAUGGUAGAGGUGAGUGGAAUUCCGCGUGUAGAGGUGAAAUUCGUAGAUAUUCGGAGGAACACCAGUGGCGAAGGCGGCUCACUGGACCAUUACUGACGCUGAGGUGCGAAAGCGUGGGGAGCAAACAGG
rnacentral:rRNA from 1 species